rnacentral:tRNA from 1 species
ACAUUUGGCCGAGUGGUUAAGGCGGUCGCCUGCUAAGAUUGUGCUGCUACUUGAGUUUUCUCGAGUUCACACAUUUUGCAACAAGUGAUUUCGUUUAUCGAGCGAAGGUUCGAAUCCUUCAGUGUG